ACGGGAGGCAGCAGUGAGGAAUAUUGGUCAAUGGGCGAGAGCCUGAACCAGCCAAGUAGCGUGAAGGACGACGGCCCUAUGGGUCUUAAACUUCUUUUGUUGGGGAAUAAAGUCAGGGACGCGUCCCUGUUUGUAUGUACCUUACGAAUAAGCAUCGGCUAAUUCCGUGCCAGCAGCCGCGGUAAUACGGAAGAUGCGAGCGUUAUCCGGAUUUAUUGGGUUUAAAGGGAGCGUAGGCGGCCUUUUAAGUCAGCGGUUAAAUGUCAGCGCCCAACGUUGGCAUGCCGUUGAAACUGGAGGGCUUGAAUACACACAAGGUAAGUGGAAUUCGUCGUGUAGCGGUGAAAUGCUUAGAUAUGACGAAGAACUCCGAUUGCGAAGGCAGCUUACUGGGGUGCGAUUGACGCUGAGGCUCGAAAGUGCGGGAAUCAAACAGGAUUAGAUACCCUGGUA
rnacentral:rRNA from 1 species